UUGAUACUCCCUCCGUCCAGAAAUACUUGUCAUCAAUAUGAAUAAAAGAGAAUGUAUCUAGAUGUAUUUUAGUUUUAGAUACAUCUUUUUUUAUCCAUUUUGAUGACAAGUAUUCUCGGACGGAGGGAGUACAAG
rnacentral:pre_miRNA from 1 species